CAGUAGCCGCGGUAAUACGAAGGGGGCUAGCGUUGUUCGGAUUUACUGGGCGUAAAGCGCACGUAGGCGGACUUUUAAGUCAGGGGUGAAAUCCCGGGGCUCAACCCCGGAACUGCCUUUGAUACUGGAAGUCUUGAGUAUGGUAGAGGUGAGUGGAAUUCCGAGUGUAGAGGUGAAAUUCGUAGAUAUUCGGAGGAACACCAGUGGCGAAGGCGGCUCACUGGACCAUUACUGACGCUGAGGUGCGAAAGCGUGGGGAGCAAACAGGAUUAGAUACCCCUGUAGUCCCUGUCUCUUAUAA
rnacentral:rRNA from 1 species